GAGGCUCACUUCUCCAGCCUAUUGUUUGAGACAAGAGAUAUAAGUUGCAUGGGAGAGGAGCGUCGGAUUUGGUGUGUAUUCCCCAUUUCCAAUUAUAGAUGGAUCAUUACAGACAGCACAGUCCUGAGAAGCCAGACAUCUGCUGCUCACAUGAAUGCACUCACCUCCUAGAGACCAGGCUGCCAUCAUGCUCUGGAAGCUCGUGGAGAAUGUCAAGUACGAAGAUAUCUAUGAGAUGUUAGUCCACACCUAUUCAUCCAUGGACCGGCACGAUGGCGUCCCGAGUCACAGCUCGAGGCUCUCUCAGCUGGGCUCGGUGUCCCAAGGACCCUACUCGAGCGCCCCGCCGCUGUCCCACACCCCGUCAUCGGACUUCCAGCCGCCCUACUUCCCACCCCCCUACCAGCCGCUCCCCUACCACCAGAGCCAAGACCCCUACUCCCACGUCAACGACCCCUACUCCCUGAAUCCACUGCACCAACCCCAGCAGCACCCCUGGGGGCAACGGCAGCGGCAAGAAGUGGGCUCGGACGCCGGCUCCCUGCUUCCCCAGCCUCGGGCAGCCUUGCCCCAGCUCUCAGGCCUCGACCCCCGGAGGGACUACCACUCGGUUCGCCGGCCCGACGUGCUGCUGCAUUCGGCGCACCACGGCCUGGACGCAGGCAUGGGCGACAGCCUCUCCUUGCACGGCCUUGGCCACCCCGGCAUGGAAGACGUCCAGUCAGUUGAAGAUGCCAAUAACAGCGGCAUGAAUCUAUUGGACCAGUCUGUCAUUAAAAAAGUUCCGGUUCCUCCCAAAUCUGUGACUUCUCUGAUGAUGAAUAAAGAUGGCUUCUUGGGAGGCAUGUCGGUCAACACCGGGGAGGUGUUUUGCUCGGUUCCCGGCCGUUUGUCCUUGCUCAGUUCAACCUCAAAGUAUAAAGUAACCGUGGGGGAAGUUCAGAGACGGCUAUCGCCCCCGGAAUGCCUCAAUGCAUCUCUCCUUGGCGGCGUCCUCAGAAGAGCCAAAUCGAAAAAUGGGGGGAGAUCUUUACGAGAGAGGCUAGAAAAAAUCGGUUUGAAUUUACCCGCGGGCAGGCGCAAAGCAGCAAACGUCACGUUACUCACCUCCCUGGUGGAAGGAGAGGCUGUCCACUUAGCUCGAGAUUUUGGGUACAUUUGUGAAACAGAGUUUCCCGCAAAAGCUGUCUCUGAGUAUUUGAACCGGCAGCACACGGAUCCCAGUGACCUGCACUCCCGAAAGAAUAUGUUGCUGGCAACCAAGCAACUUUGCAAAGAGUUUACGGAUCUGCUGGCUCAGGACCGGACGCCCAUCGGGAACAGCCGGCCCAGCCCCAUCCUGGAGCCGGGGAUCCAGAGCUGUCUCACUCACUUCAGCCUCAUCACGCACGGCUUCGGCGCCCCGGCCAUUUGCGCGGCGCUCACGGCCCUGCAGAACUAUCUCACCGAGGCGCUCAAGGGCAUGGACAAGAUGUUCUUGAACAACAGCAGCUCUAACAGGCACACGUCUGGGGAAGGCCCAGGUAGUAAAACUGGCGACAAGGAGGAGAAACACAGGAAAUGAAAAAAAAAAAAAAAAAAAAAAGAGUUUAAAAAAAGAAGGAGAUAUGUUUUAAAUACAAAAGGAAAACAAAAAAAAUUAAUUUUAGCUUUAAAAUAUUGGAUUGGCUUUGGAAGAAUUAUAUUAGGUAGCAUACACAUACAAUCAAAAUUUUAACAAAAGAAAGCUAAGUAACUUCUUAAAAAAAAAAAAUCCUGAGGCAUACAGCGGAGCAACAGUAUCGGUUCUCAGUGUCUAUUUCAAGAUUACACUUGGAGACCACCGUCCGGAUUUUCCACUUCGGUUCUUUCGAGCUUAGUAAUACUGAUAAUAAAAGAAAACUAUGAUUUCCCCCUUUGGAAAACAAACAUAAGACUAAACAUGAGAAAACGCUAACUUAUUGGAAGAAAAUCGGAGAAACGUUUGUUGUCAGUGCUUUGAGAGCUGGUUGACUGAGACGCACGAACUUUUUAAUUUUUAAUAUUUUUUUAGGAAACUCUUUCGCAGUCCCUGCCCUCCAUUCACCUGGCCCCUCUCCCAGCCACCCUAUUCUACAGUUGCCCUCCUUCCUGAUACGGUUCUGGGAAUCUUCGGGAUGCAAAUAAGUAUGCUUAGCUCUUUGGCGUGGUUCCAGUCCCUUUGCUCCCCGGCCCAGCCUGUGUUCCUAACUCACCGUGCCCAGUUCCCCGGUGGUUUGCAAAGUAGGGAGGGGCUGCCGAGCGGGCGGGGGCUGAAAUUUUGGGUGCCAGGGGCAGAGGUUCCCUUGGCUGCGGAAAAUCCGGACCAGUAAACUGAUUCAGACUCAUCAUCCAUUCCUUUCAGAAAUGUUACUAGUUACCAGCCUUGCCAGCACCUGCAUACAAAGAAUCUUGCAUUUGUUAUAAUAUUUGUGUCACCUACCGAUUCUAAGAACUAUAGUAAAAAAACGAAACAAAACAAAACAGUAUGAAUACAUUGAUUAGUAUGUAAUCCCUUCGGAGGGGUAUGUACCAUUUCAUUCUCUUCUGUUUUCCAAAGCUCUGCCCGCAUGGUUUAUGAGCUUCUUCAAAGAGGACUUGGGCUUUCUACACAAUCUAUAAGGGCAACGCGCCCCCCGCGUGUGACCUGCGAGGACGCGAUGGAAGCGCCUCGCUCUAACUGUGCAGGUCCUGGGAGCGGUGGCCGCUCGCGCCCGGGCGUAUUGAGGACAUAGAAUCAGCCACUGCGGGGCCGCCGGCCGCAGGCCCUUCGCCCUCUCGGUCUCACCCUAAGGGCUCGGGCGACCGAGAAAGCCCCGCGCUCCAGUAGGUAAAGGCGCGGCGCCCCGCGGCUGCAGGCGGGGAGGGGUCCCCGGCUGAGCGCGCCCUUCGCCCCGCGCGGCCACGGGCGCCUGCUCCCGCGGAAGCGUGGCCUAGCGAGGUCCAAGGAAUCGGAAGCGUUCCCCUCCUCCUCUGGGUCGGGACGGAAAUUCCCUCCACCGAACGAGAACGGGCUGGCUGGCUGGGCCGCCAGGGCGCCCUCCUGCCCUCGGCCUCCUCCCGGCGCCCACCUAGACGUGCCCUGCGCCCCAUCACGCCGCGCGCAGUGGUCCUCGCCCCAUCUCCUUUCCAGUGGGGCUCCCCGCCCUCCUGCUUUCGCCGCAGCUAGGGCCGCUACGUUGAUCUGAUAAUUGAGUUAUUAAAAGAUUUGGUUUCCUUGGGCUUAUAAAUCAAUAAACAGUAGGAUUAACACAAGAGUUGCCUUUUAAGUCAAGAAAAAUGUUUAAGGCGAGACCCUUUGAGCUUUGUUUUCAAACCAAACAGGUGAGCUGCAGCCCUCGCCCCACCCUUGCAUUCUAGACGUGUUAGCCCUGCCCGCUGCCCGCUCCUAAAUGCUGGGACCCGAACCAAAGUAAGAUCUAAGGAUGGAAGGAAAGAGUCUAGAUGUGGCAGCGCUGUCCUCGCGUUCGCCACACUGCAAGUCUCUCUAGAGGUGCUAGACCGGGUCACUGUCUGUCCAGUUCCGCGUCCAGCUGCAGGGGUGGUCUCCAGGAAAGAUCAAGGGGCUGUCCUGAACGAGCUUAUCGUCUGGAAGGGAUCUUUAACUUCUCCCCCAAGUGGGAAGUAACUUUCUCUCCUCCCCACUUCCGAAUUAUCUUGCGUUUUCUUUCCUUCUUUCCGGCCUCCACAUCCUUAGCUUUCUUCACCCCCACCUAAAGAACUGAAGAGGCUUUCAAAGACUUGACUUUUGUUUUCUUUGGCCGAGGAAACCACUCUUUUCUCAAACAAUUAUUUCAUGUCCUAUGAAAACUUUGGUCCAAUGGAAAACACGCAAGUCUGAAUUUAUGUACACAGUGUUCUUCCAGUACAACGCGUUCCUAGUUAGAGUGUUCAUAGAAAAUUUGUCAUCGCAUCUGAUAUCCUGUACUUACAAUGCAUUAUGUGGAAAGGAAAAGAUAACCCUAAACCAUCUGAUGUUGCCUCAACCACCCAAAAGUGUUUUCCCUCCUUGAAUGAUGUACAUUAAAUUAUUGGCAUAAAAAGAGAAA